rnacentral:rRNA from 1 species
AGAGUUUGAUCAUGGCUCAGAAUCAACGCUGGCGGCGUGCCUCAGACAUGCAAGUCGAACGCGAAAGCCUCCUUCGGGGGGCAAGUAGAGUGGCGCACGGGUGAGUAACACGUAGGUAAUCUACCUUUGGAUUGGGAAUAACCACCGGAAACGGUGGCUAAUACCGAAUAAUGCAGCGGCACCUAAUGGUGACAGUUGUUAAAGCGGGGGAUCGCAAGACCUCGCGUCUGAAGAGGAGCCUGCGGCAGAUUAGCUAGUUGGUAAGGUAACGGCUUACCAAGGCGAUGAUCUGUAGCCGGCCUGAGAGGGCGGUCGGCCACACUGACACUGACAUACGGGUCAGACUCCUACGGGAGGCAGCAGUCGGGAAUUUUGGGCAAUGGGCGAAAGCCUGACCCAGCAACGCCGCGUGAAGGAUGAAAUCCCUCGGGAUGUAAACUUCGCAAGAACGGGAAGAAUAAGUAAGAGUUAAUAUCUCUUACGAUGACGGUACUGUUUGUAAGCUCCGGCUAACUCCGUGCCAGCAGCCGCGGUAAUACGGGGGGAGCAAGCGUUGUUCGGAUUUACUGGGCGUAAAGGGCGCGUAGGCGGCCACCGCAAGUCGACUGUGAAAUCUCCGGGCUUAACCCGGAAAGGUCAGCCGAUACUGCGGGGCUAGAGUGCAGAAGGGGCAACUGGAAUUCUCGGUGUAGCGGUGAAAUGCGUAGAUAUCGAGAGGAACACCUGCGGCGAAGGCGGGUUGCUGGGCUGACACUGACGCUGAGGCGCGAAAGCUAGGGGAGCGAACGGGAUUAGAUACCCCGGUAGUCCUAGCCUUAAACGAUGAAUGCUUGGUGUCUGGGGUUUUAUAGUCCCCGGGUGCCGUCGCUAACGCUUUAAGCAUUCCGCCU